AUUUUAAAUAAAAUGAGUACUCCCAAUAGAAGUACCUCAACUUAAUCCACGUCAACAAUGUCAACUCUCAAACUCCAUAUAUUGAAUUCAACAAUAUCAUACUUACUUAAUUAGGAUAUUUUAAGAUUUCAAUAAUAUCAUAUGUGACAAAGUAUUUUUUCCAUACUUUAAGAUUUCAUAGUAAAAAACUAUAUCCGCACUUUAAAAUUUCAAAUAAAACGAGUACUCACAAUAACAGUACCUAAACUUAAUCCAUGUCAACAUUGUCGACUCUCAAAUUUCAUAUAUUGAAUUCAAUGAUAUCAUACUUACUUAAUUAGGAUACUUUAAUUAUACCUCAAUUAAUGUGAUAUAAUUUAAGUGAUAAAUGAUUAUUAAAUCUUAUCAUUUUUAAUUACUAUUAAGAAUAUGAUUACGUACAUAACACGAUUAAUUUCCUGCUUUUAGAAAUUACAACGGUCAAUUUAUGAUUAUGUAAUUUGGAGUUUCAUGGGUGUGGCAAAUUCAUCAAUAAAAUUUACAUCUAGCCAGACCAACAAGGCUACAAAUGAAAAAAGAAGGAACGUGUGAAUGGCAGAGGAGAGUAAUUAGGGGGGAAGCAGGAGGGGCAUCGACGGAGAAGGGAAAAGAGGAGAGAAUCAGAGGCUUAUAAAAUACUAAAGGCAUGAGAGAGAGUUCUGCGUGGGACACAGAGGACACCAUGAUGAGGUUUUUGCAUGCGCCUUCAUUUUAAAGCUGAAAACGUUCAUUUUUAUUCUUGUUUUUUUAUUUAUUUAUCUGAAACAAAAAUAACAAAACAAAGGAAUAGUAUCUCUGUAUAUUUUAAUGGCGAAUGAGGGUGCAACUGCACCCUCAUCGUCAUCAUGUUCGCGUCAGAGGCAAAAGACGCUGCAAAGAGAACAAUCCGCAUAUAUAAUUGCUGUGCAUUCAUGACCCUAUACGCCAGGUUUCAGGUUUUAACAACCGCUGUUAAUAGGGUUCCGUGACUUUCUUAUGUAACAUACUAUUCAAUUACAACAAAUUACAAUUAAAAGUCUCUGAACUGUGGAGGCUGAAAUAUAUUAUAACUCGUGGAAAUUGAACUUAAAUCUCAAAUAAGCUUCGUAUUUUAAUGAAUGCAAAAAAAAUUGCCUAAAUGAUGAGCAAUAUGGUGGACUUUUGUAACGCUUUAGAUAAUUACUCUUUUUGAUUGAUAAUAUUACAAAUAAGGUGAUGUUUAAAUAACGUGAAUUUCGUGUGAACGGUUUUAAAAAAAAAAACGAGAUGUUCGUGAAAAAAAGGUUUCGAACGGUCUUAAUUGAACCAUCCAAUCAAAUUAUGCAAUUUGUCUUAAGUAUUUUUAUUCCCUCAUAUUUACGGGCAAACCUAUCUGAUGGCCAGUAAAGACUUAAGUUCUCGGUGAAAAAGUUUUUUCUUUAUAACCCGAGUAGAAUUAUAUUCGAGUUUAAAUAAAAAUAUAAAUUAAGCGUAAUGAUUUAUUAUUUUUUUGUUUUUGAGAUUGCAUAAGAAAGUUUGUUAAGCUUGCUAAAAAAUAUCCUUAGGCCAAUAUGGGAUUGUGGUGGCUAAUAAAAUAAAUUGUUCUUAUUGUGUAAUUCAAUUAUGUUGUUAAUUAGAAAAGCAGCUUUAUGUUUGGUAAACUAUAUUGUUGCGGUUGCUUGUAGUGGACAUGCAUUUGGUAAAUUUUAUUAUGAAAGUAUUGUUUUAUUAUAUAAUGACCAUAAUAGACAUACAUUUAAAUUACCUUUUAUUUUUUGGAGUAUAUUUAAUAAUACUUAGAAAUGUUUUUUUCCCUUUAUUAAACACAUAAAAUUACAUAAAGUGAAAAAACUCGAUUAAAUAAAAUCUAAUGAACUUUAUAAUAUGUUACAUAAAAUAUAAUAAAAAUUAAUACUAAUACACAAUCCAAAUAAAAUAAAAAAUUAAUAUGCAUUACAUUCAAAUAAAACUUAAUGGAAUAAACACCAUGAUUAUAGAAAAAAAUAUAAAUAGAUUCAACGUUAAGAGCAAUGAUUAUGAAAUUAAUUUUAAAAGUCAUGGUUAACUUUCACGUGAAAUUGUUCACAGUUUAAAAAAAAUUUAUAUAAUCAUAUGUAAGUUUAUCAUUUGGGCGGAUUCUGUCACAACAAGUGUAACGUAUAUUCUUCAAGUUUUGAAUUAAUGAAAGUUAUAAUUCCAUCUGUUAAAAAUAAGAUUAUGAAAAACAAUCAUUUGCUU
rnacentral:lncRNA from 1 species